GUUUCUUAAGAAACAUGUUGCCCAACGCCCCUCUGAGACCAGUCUUGAUCAAUCUGUGAAAGACUUACUGAGUGAAGGACAGGACAUUGAUAACUCCACCAGUGAUGAAGACAUUGCAGAUACAUCUGAGGCACUAGGACCACAUACCUCUACCCAGCAAGAGGGUCAAGACCACACCUCCCUUUUUCCCACUCCCAGGCCUGCUUUAAAAUGCCGAAAGGCUGACACAGACACUGUUGAACAACAAAAACUGAAGCUGUUACAACAGAUGUCUGCUUCAGUUCUGGCCUCCCCAGAUGCCUGCAGCUCUUUUGGAAACCAGGUUGCUGUGGAGCUCAGGUUAAUAAAGAAUACAAGUCUACAGACCAGGGUAAAAAGACAAAUAAUGAAUGCUUUGUUUGAGGCCCAGGAGGCAGACCAAUCUAGUUCCUCAUCAUCCUCACACAUGCCACCACCCAUAUAUUCACCUCUCACACCUACACAAAUGCCCACCUCAACCCCUCUAUACACGCAGACACCUCAACACUACCAUCAGCAC